rnacentral:tRNA from 1 species
UGCCUUAUAUUCUAAUUAAGGAAAUUUGAUUGCAAACCAAAAAGUGGGUAUUCCUAAGGCUU